rnacentral:tRNA from 1 species
AGGCACGUAGCUUUAGAGCACCACCUUGACAUGGUGGGGGUCGUUGGUUCGAGUCCAAUCGCGCCUACCA